ensembl:lncRNA
CCAAUCCUGAACCCCCCUCCCACCUCUCUCCGCAUAUCAUCUCUCUGGGUCAUCCCAGUGCACCAGCCCCAAGCAUCCUGUAUCCUGUAUCGAACCUAGACUUGCGAUUCAUUUCUUACAUGAUAGUAUACAUGUUUCAAUGCCAUUCUCCCAAAUCAUCCCACCCUCUCCCUCUCCCACAGAGUCCAAAAGUCUGUUCUAUACAUCUGUGUCUCUUUUGCUGUCUUGCACACAAGGUUAUCGUUACCAUCUUUCUAAAUUCCAUAUAUAUGUGUUAGUAUACUGUAUUGGUGUUUUUCUUUCUGGCUUACUUCACUCUGUAUAAUCGGCUCCAGUUUCAUCCACCUCAUUAGAAUGGAUUCAAAUGCCCUUUUAAUGCCUGAGUAAUACUCCAUUGUGUAUAUGUACCACAGCUUUCUUAUCCAUUCAUCUGCUGAUGGACAUUUAGGUUGCUUCCAUGUCCUGGCUAUUAUAAACAGUGCUGCGAUGAACAUUGGGGUACACGUCUCUCUUUCUAUUCUGGUUUCCUUCGUGUGUAUGCCCAGCAGUGGGAUUGCUGGGUCAUAAGGCAGCUCUAUUUCCAGUUUUUUAAGGAAUCUCCACACUGUUCUCCAUAGUGGCUGUACUAGUUUGCAUUCCCACUCAACGUUCUUUAUACGUGACCCCAAGCCCCAAGGUUUCCUGAGUCUGUUACUAUGAUGCCUCUCUGCUUCACUGUGUCUCUGCUUUGAAUUCAAGUGAAAUCGCCUUGUGGAAGACAAACUGCAAAGUUUUAGGGGGGAAAAGACCCCCACCAACUUUUAGCUGCUAAUGGGUCUGUAUCCUUAAAAAUUCCCUCUGUGCUUCAUGAAUUUCAACAUGUAGUUUAUCUCUUUUGCUCCGUAAAACACGAGAUGCGACUUUAAUGGCCUAACCCCAAAAAGAUAACCGCAUAGCCAUCAAACAUUCAGCAGCAUUCCAAAUAACCUUUUGCUGCAGCCUGCCUUCUACGGGGCCGUGUGGAUGUCAGACGCACAGAACCGGAGUCACGCUGACAUAGCUGGCAUGCCUGGACCGCAGUGGAAUCUCGGGGGUACCAAUCACAGGCCAGAGAGAAGCCAUUGGCUAGAGGAAACAAUGCCAGCGUGUUCACAUCUCUACAGAAGGAGCGGUGUUGAUGGUGACGGGAUUGACAAUUGCAGCCAGAGGGGGACCGUGACCCCGGGGCAGGAUGAACACACACGUCAGCGGUGCUGGCACGAGGCAGAAGCCUUCUGGGGCUCAGGUCACGGCCCCAUCCUUCUUCUCCUGAUCCCCAACCGGAACAGUUAAGAAGACAGCAGAUAUGCCCUAAAAAUACUUCCUGCCUGGAAUGCUCUUCUCUCUUCAGGAGUUUGAGAAAUCCAGAAUGGAUAAUAAUGAGCCAAAUUCAUUCAGCGCUUAUAUCUACCAGACAGUGUGUUGGGCGUUUAACAAAUAAUUCAUUUACUUCUCCUUACUCCGUGGUUGGUAGAGUCUGCCUGAAUGCAGGAGACACAAGAGACAGGUUCGAUCCCUGGGUUGGAAAGGUCCCCUGGAGGAGAAAAUAACAGCCCACUCCAGUAUUCUUGCCUGGAAAAUCCCAUGGACAGAGGAGCCUGGCAGGCCACAGUCCCUGCGGUCACAAAGACUCUGAUACAACUGAACAACUGAGCUUGCACUCAGUGGUGAGGGGUGUGUGUGUGUGUCCAACUUUUGCAACCACAUGGACUGUUGCCUCCCAUGUUCUUCUGUUCAUCAGAUUCUCCAGGCAAAAAUAACUGGAGUGGGUUGCCAUCCCCAUUCUCCACGGGAUCUUCCCUACCCAGGGAUCGAACCCUGAUCUCCUGCAUUGCAGGCAGAUUCCUUGCCAUCUGGGCCACCAGGGAAGCCUAUGAUGAGGUACUUUGCAUAAUCCCCACUUUAGGAAGGAGGGAACUGAGGCUAGGAAGGAGUAAGAAAUUUACCCAAAUUCCAUAACCAGUAACUGGCAGAGUUGUGCACUUGAACCCAGUCUUUCAAAAGCAAAGCCCAAGCUCCUGACCCUGGCACCCAAAGCCAUGUGGCAAGUCCACACUUUCUGUGGCACCCAUGAAAGCCACCCUCCCUGAUGGAGGAGGUCUGUGUAUUUAUCGGGUGGAGAAAAAUCCUUCAAGGGCUUCUUUUUCCUCCCCUGGGUUCCUGGGGGUCAAGCAGGCAUGCUUCAAUAUGCUGUUGCUUGAACCCUGGUUUAUUUCAGGACCCCUGGGUCAGCCUGGCAAGGGGUGCCGUGGAGGGGGCCACUUCUGGGGUGAGGGGUGAGUUACAGACAUUUUACAUCUCUCUUGAGUUUGGUCAUUGCGCUUCUAUCCCUUGAUCAGCCUUUCUUUUUUUCUUCCUUUCAAGAUUCUUCUUCUUGGGACUUCCCUGGCGGUCCGGUGGUUAAGACUUCACCGUCCAGUGCAGGGAUGGGGAAACCGAGGCUCGGAAUGCGCAUGUCACUUGCCCAGGCUCACCCUGCUGGCCUUGGUUCCACUGCCACCUCCUCCAUGGAGCCCUUCCUGACUGACCAGCACCCGCACACCCAUAGAAUUCACAGUUCUGUUCUGAGGCGCUUAGCAAAUGUCCCUGCAGAGUAGUUGCUCAAGAAACAUCGGCUUACUGAUUGUUCCAAGACUCUUCUGGUCUGCUUUUCCAGUGAUCUGAAGGUGAAACUGGCUCCUAAGAGGAUGGAUGUUGGGCUUCACUCACCUUCCAGAAGAUGCCCUGCAGACUGGACUUGAUCUCUACCCGCUCUGCCUACAUCUCCAGUCCGGGGCAGUCAGACCUGAUGCUCGGCGGUGACCUGAAAUGAGAAGAAACCUCUCGCCAAGCUCACCAAGAAGCUCCAGAUUCCACUCCUGCAAUGAAGAUUUUUAAAGCAAAUCCAAACAUCGUGUGAUAUCAUCUGUAAACACUCCACGUGCACCCAUGGAAGAACUCUGUCAUAUGUACAUACUUACAAAUCUGGAAUACAACGAUUAUAACUAAUAAAAUGAACAGUAACUCAGUAUCCAAUUUUCCCCACUGUUUUCCUGUCACUCUUUAGCGAUGGAUCUGUUAGAAUAAGGAUGCAGUGGAAAUUUGGGUCCCAGUACUCCUUCAAAGUUCUUGCAUGAGGUUGUUUGUUGAACAAGAGGAAAUAAAUUACAUAAUAAAGACAUGCACUCUGUCCUAAGUCGCUUUAGUCAUGUCUGACCCUGUUGACUAUAGCCUGCCAGGUUCCUCUGUUUGUGGGAUUCUCCAGGCAAGAAUACUGGAGUGGGUUGCUAUGCCCUCCUGCAGGGGCUCUCCCCAUCCUAGGGAUCAAACCCACGUCUCUUAUAUCUCCUGCAUUGACAGGCGGGUUCUUUACCACUAUCGCCACCUGGGAAGCCCUUAAUAAAGAUACUUUGUCAUAAUGAUAGAUCACAGUUACCUACGCCUUUAAUUGCAGCCCACGCCAGUGUUCUUGCCUGGAGAAUCCCAAGGACAGGGGAGCCUGGUGGGCUGCUGUCUAUGGGGUCACACAGAGUUGGACACGACUGAAGCGACUUAGCAGCAGCAGCAGCAAGCUUCUCUGACCCCUGACCUUCGUGUCAGAUGGAAUAGAUGAGUGUCAUUUGCCUCUUGCAGAGAUAACCAAGGCCUGGAGAUGCUUCAGGAUCCAAUUAGUGGUCAAGCUUAGACUACCUGUUUCCUGAUGACAACAAAGCCUUGUGAUUACCUCCAUCUCAUUAAAAUUUGAGCCUCUACUUUUAAAAGGGGAGGCUCAAGAGAUUCUCACCCUCUUUGAAACACAUUUUAUGGAGAAGCUCCUGGAACCUUCACAGCAACCCUGUGAUGUAAGGGCCUUCAUUAUCAUUCCACUGGAGAAUCCCAGGCACAGAGAGGUUGAGACAUUUCCUCAAGGUCACACAGCAUCAUCAUUUAAACCUACCUCUGUCAUUAACUAGUAUGGGCUUCCCUGGUGGUUCAGAUGGUAAAGAAUCUGCCUGCAACUGCAGGGAACCCAGAUAUGAUCCCUGAAUCGGGAAGAUCUCCUGGAGAAAGGAAUCAC